UACGAAGGGGGCUAGCGUUGCUCGGAAUUACUGGGCGUAAAGGGAGCGUAGGCGGACAUUUAAGUCAGGGGUGAAAUCCCGAGGCUCAACCUCGGAACUGCCUUUGAUACUGGGUGUCUUGAGUGUGAGAGAGGUGAGUGGAACUCCGAGUGUAGAGGUGAAAUUCGUAGAUAUUCGGAAGAACACCAGUGGCGAAGGCGACUCACUGGCUCAUUACUGACGCUGAGGCUCGAAAGCGUGGGGAGCAAACCGG
rnacentral:rRNA from 1 species